rnacentral:rRNA from 1 species
GACGAACGCUGGCGGCGUGCUUAACACAUGCAAGUCGAACGGUAAGGCCCUUCGGGGUACACGAGUGGCGAACGGGUGAGUAACACGUGGGUGAUCUGCCCUGCACUUCGGGAUAAGCCUGGAAACUGGGUCUAAUACCGGAUAGGACCACUGCCUGCAUGGGUGGUGGUGGAAAGCUUUUGCGGUGUGGGAUGGGCCCGCGGCCUAUCAGCUUGUUGGUGGGGUGAUGGCCUACCAAGGCGACGACGGGUAGCCGGCCUGGGAGGGUGACCGGCCACACUGGGACUGAGAUACGGCCCAGACUCCUACGGGAGGCAGCAGUGGGGAAUAUUGCACAAUGGGCGCAAGCCUGAUGCAGCGACGCCGCGUGAGGGAUGACGGCCUUCGGGUUGUAAACCUCUUUCAGCACCGACGAAGCGCAAGUGACGGUAGGUGCAGAAGAAGGACCGGCCAACUACGUGCCAGCCGCCGCCGAA